rnacentral:lncRNA from 1 species
GAAAAAUUUAGCAGCAUGGAUAUGCAGAAUCUCCACAUCAUGGCACUUUUGUAAAGCAUGGAUGGGUAAAAUUUGCAUCCAGCUCAUCAACUACAUUACUUUGCAUCAUUGACUUAUUUGCAGGUAGCUCAAAGGCAACAAAAUGAAAUACGUUCAUCAAAAUUUGCUCAGUCCAAAAUUCGAAUCACUUAUCUUCGUCCCUCCAGCAAAUCA